GCGCCGCUAGCUCAGCUGGAUAGAGUGUUUGGCUACGAACCAAAAGGUCGGGAGUUCGAAUCUCUCGCGGCGCGCCA
rnacentral:tRNA from 1 species